AGAGUUUGAUCCUGGCUCAGGACGAACGCUGGCGGCGUGCCUAAUACAUGCAAGUCGAGCGGAGAUUUAAAAGCUUGCUUUUAGAUCUUAGCGGCGGACGGGUGAGUAACACGUGGGCAACCUGCCCUGUAAGACUGGGAUAACUUCGGGAAACCGGAGCUAAUACCGGAUAACUUCAGACACCUCCUGGUGUCCGAAUAAAAGAUGGCUUCGGCUAUCACUUACAGAUGGGCCCGCGGCGCAUUAGCUAGUUGGUGAGGUAACGGCUCACCAAGGCGACGAUGCGUAGCCGACCUGAGAGGGUGAUCGGCCACACUGGGACUGAGACACGGCCCAGACUCCUACGGGAGGCAGCAGUAGGGAAUCUUCCGCAAUGGACGAAAGUCUGACGGAGCAACGCCGCGUGAGCGAUGAAGGCCUUCGGGUCGUAAAGCUCUGUUGUUAGGGAAGAACAAGUACCGUUCGAAUAGGGCGGUACCUUGACGGUACCUAACCAGAAAGCCACGGCUAACUACGUGCCAGCAGCCGCGGUAAUACGUAGGUGGCAAGCGUUGUCCGGAAUUAUUGGGCGUAAAGCGCGCGCAGGCGGUUUCUUAAGUCUGAUGUGAAAGCCCACGGCUCAACCGUGGAGGGUCAUUGGAAACUGGGAAACUUGAGUGCAGAAGAGGAGAGUGGAAUUCCACGUGUAGCGGUGAAAUGCGUAGAGAUGUGGAGGAACACCAGUGGCGAAGGCGACUCUCUGGUCUGUAACUGACGCUGAGGCGCGAAAGCGUGGGGAGCGAACAGGAUUAGAUACCCUGGUAGUCCACGCCGUAAACGAUGAGUGCUAAGUGUUAGAGGGUUUCCGCCCUUUAGUGCUGCAGCAAACGCAUUAAGCACUCCGCCUGGGGAGUACGGUCGCAAGACUGAAACUCAAAGGAAUUGACGG
rnacentral:rRNA from 2 species